rnacentral:rRNA from 1 species
GACGAACGCUGGCGGCGUGCUUAACACAUGCAAGUCGAGCGGUAAGGCCCUUCAGGGUACACGAGCGGCGAACGGGUGAGUAACACGUGGGUGACCUGCCUCUAGCUCUGGGAUAAGCCUGGGAAACUGGGUCUAAUACCGGAUAUGACUCCACGGCGCAUGUUGUGGGGUGGAAAGCCUUGUGUGGCUAGAGAUGGGCCCGCGGCCUAUCAGCUUGUUGGUGGGGGAUGGCCUACCAGGGCGACGACGGGUAGCCGGCCUGAGAGGGCGACCGGCCACACUGGGACUGAGACACGGCCCAGACUCCUACGGGAGGCAGCAGUGGGGAAUCUUGCGCAAUGGCGAAAGCCUGACGCAGCGACGCCGCGUGAGGGAUGACGGCCU